rnacentral:rRNA from 1 species
GAUGAACGCUGACAGAAUGCUUAACACAUGCAAGUCGAUGGGGAAGUGGUGCUUGCACCAUGGUAACCAUGGCGGACGGGUGAGUAACGCGUAAGGAACUUGCCUGCGGGACUGGGAUAACAGCAGGAAACUGCUGAUAAUACCGGAUAAGGUCAUUAAGCUGCAUAGCUUAGUGAUGAAAGGAGACGCCUGCGGAGAGCCUUGCGUCCUAUUAGCUAGUUGGAGGGGUAACGGCCACCAAGGCGAAGAUAGGUAGCCGGCCUGAGAGGGUGGACGGCCACAAGGGGACUGAGAUACGGCCCUUACUCCUACGGGAGGCAGCAGUGGGGAAUAUUGGACAAUGGGGGCAACCCUGAUCCAGCAAUUCUGUGUGCACGAAGACGGUUUUCGGAUUGUAAAGUGCUUUCAGCAGGGAAGAAGGAAGUGACGGUACCUGCAGAAGAAGCGACGGCUAAAUACGUG